UUAGUGGUAGUUUAAUUAAAACGUGGAGUUGCAAACUGCAAGAUUGUAGGUCACCACUAA
rnacentral:tRNA from 1 species